UACGAAGGGGGCUAGCGUUGUUCGGAAUUACUGGGCGUAAAGCGUGCGUAGGCGGUUCGUUAAGUGCGUCGUGAAAGCCCCGGGCUCAACCUGGGAAUGGCGAUGGAAACUGGCGGGCUGGAGUAUGGCAGAGGGGGGUGGAAUUCCGCGUGUAGCAGUGAAAUGCGUAGAGAUGCGGAGGAACACCGAUGGCGAAGGCAGCCCCCUGGGCCAAUACUGACGCUCAGGCACGAAAGCGUGGGGAGCAAACAGG
rnacentral:rRNA from 1 species